CUGCGGUACCAGGGAGGGGCUCGGACGCCAGCAUCUACCCUGGGAAUGGGAAGGGUACUCAGACAGCAGCUUCUACCCUGGGAAUAGGAAGGGUACUCAGGUGCUCAGAUGCCAGCAUCUACCCUGGGAAUGGGAAGCGGCAGACUAUGGAGAAAGGGCCCACCCACAGGGGCCUGCAGCACAGCACAGGACCUGCCUGA
rnacentral:lncRNA from 1 species